CGGGGGGGGCAAGCGUUGUUCGGAAUUACUGGGCGUAAAGGGCUCGUAGGCGGCCAACUAAGUCAGACGUGAAAUCCCCAGGCUCAACCUGGGAACUGCGUCUGAUACUGGAUGGCUUGAAUCCGGGAGAGGGAUGCAGAAUUCCAGGUGUAGCGGUGAAAUGCGUAGAUAUCUGGAGGAAUACCGGUGGCGAAGGCGGCAUCCUGGACCGGCAUUGACGCUGAGGAGCGAAAGCCAGGGGAGCAAACGGGAUUAGAUACCCCGGUAGUCCUGCCCUAAACGAUGAAUGCUUGGUGUAACGGGUAUCGAUCCCUGUUGUGCCGAAGCUAACGCAUUAAGCAUUCCGCCUGGGGAGUACGGUCGCAAGGCUG
rnacentral:rRNA from 1 species